UGAAGGUUACAUUUCAAAGCUGCCUCUCUCUCAAGGCCUUUUGGCAGAGACAAAUCAUCCCUAAUGAUACUAUAUGAAGAUCUGAGCCCAUUUAACAGUAUGUGUUAGUGAAUUUAGUCUAGGGUCCUGUCCAUUAGCCAUUGCUCUGUCUCAGUUCAGUUGUUGACUAGUUAUAGCUAAAACCGGAACCCACAGAACUUGACUCUAUAUUUCUGGUAGUGUCUGUGACUAAGGAUAAACACUUUUUGGGGAUGUGGGGUUAUCAAUAUUAACAUAGGACAGAGGGAUUCUCAAACUUGUUUUCAUACGGUGAACCAUCCUAAAAGAUAGGAAUUGGGCUUGUAUUCUUUUAUAUAAAAAACUAAACAAAUUUGCUGGUCUUCUUUAAACUCAGGUCUUGUUCAGUCUGAAAUACUCUCUGGGGACUACAGAACUAGUGAAAUGAUAUCACAAGAGAAUGAAAGUUAAGCAAAUGAGAUGGGAAGAGGGUAAUCAAUGUUUACAUUGGUUAGCUCCAGUUUUUGAAUUAAAUAGAUGUUCUCUGUCUGUACACAGCAUCUAAUGACCACUUUGGAUAAAGGACUCAUUCAGUAUCCCAGCACCUUCAGUUAAAGUGAGAUCUCACAAGACACCGAAACUGACCUGCAGCAAAGUCUGGAAAGACUAGACUUGAUAUGUCUAAGACAGUCUGAAAUCAUGGACCUGAGGAGUGAACCAGCAUCGUCUAUAACUCCCUGAAGUUCCCACAAGACUUCCAGUGUGCUGCAAAAGACUGCCCCAGAAUCCAGGGACGUAGAUCCAGCUUGCUGCAGAGUACACCACGGCUGCUUUUGUUUACUUACAUGCAAAAUUCAGGUUUCUGAAGUUUCUCCUCUACACUUUGAGGACUAGUUGCUUUCCUUUCACAGUGUUUGGGAAGAGAGAGUUCCAAAAUUCUCUUAAAUUGUCAGGACAAGCUCUGCAGGUGAGAUUUAUCAUCAUGUUCUUGUCUUGUGUGAAUGCAUUAACAAUCUAAUCAACAGAACACUUAAAGCAAACUGCCUUUUAAUCUUCCAAACGCUGCCUUUAAUAUCAAUCGGUGAUCUAGCUUUUUUAAAGCAAUAACUGUCUUAAUAUAUUUGAGUUAGAUGGUCACAGAAAUACACAACUAAUAUGUAAAUAAAUAAUGUUGCUUCCAGCAUCAUAUGUGACCUUUGAUUAAAAACAGUCCUUGGAGUUUCAAAAAGAUAAAUACUCAGACCAGAGUUGUAUUGCAAAUUUUUCUUAAGUUAAAAGUUAUGAAUAUUCCAGUUGGUAAAUAAGGAUUAAUAUUCAGACUAUACUGAAUUUGAUUUCUGAUUAAUAUAGUUAAGGUUUCAGAAUUAGAAACUUUUUUUUAUAGGAAGUAGACCAAAUUUACUAUUGUAUUGAAGACACACUAGUAAAUAUAAAGUGAGUCAUUUACGAAAGAAAAGACUGACAGUAGCAGUCACAUCCAGGGUAAUUUUUGUUGUACUUAUUACUGCCCUUCCCUUCUUUCACUGUAGUUUCUAUGG